UAUUUUGUAUAUUCAAUUUAUUGCAGCCAAAAAAAAAAAAAAAAGUUUUUCAUUUUUUGUACGAGUUUACAUUGAUAGUAUAAGACAGAGACUUUAUACAUGGCAGCAUAAACAAUUCAAAGACCAGACUUAGUUACAGAAUAAAUUAAAUCAAGCGAGUGCAAGGUACAGCAAGGCAAGGACAAUGUGACUACAGCUUGCCACAAAUCUCAUUUACAUUUAUAGUUACAGCACAGGACAAGUCUGAUUUCUUAAUACAAGAUAUCCUCUUACAGAAUGUAUGACAUAGUAGACAAUGACAAGUGUCAUUAUAGAGUUCAAAUGUCAAAAGAAUUUCUAAUGUAUGGUACCGUAUCUCUAUUUUUAAAUCUUGUAUUCAACAGAAUCUAGCCCUUGUUACACUGCAUGAAUUGCAAUAAAAAAAAGAUUGUGGACAGAUCAUGGGUGGUGCCCCAACAGUCUAGGAUACGGGUGAAGUUGAUACUACAGAAUUAAAAUGAUUGAUAUCUGACUUGAUGUGACCUCAACAAAUGUGGAUGACUUAUGUUUUCUUUGAGAGUUUCUCUAAACUGCUGUCUAGUUGGCAAAAGAUGAUGUAGUUAUGCUUUAAAGCUUGCCACUAUGUCUGUAAGUACACUCAGAAACAUUGCAUAGAUCUGAACUAGGCACUACACUCAUGCCAGAUAUGCACAUCAUAUCUUAAGAAAAUUUUUUUUUUAUAAGGGGUCAAAAUGUGUUCUCUCCGAUUUCUAUUCCCCUGAUGAAUUACAAUUUAAGUUUCUAUAAAAAGUUAAUCUGUGAGCCCUACUAUAGUACCAUAGAUGUACUAUUGUAACAUGGCCAUGUUAUUGUACCAUAGAUGUACUAUUGUAACAUGGCCAUGUUAUUGUACCAUAGAUGUACUAUUGUAAC